GUGAAGGAACUAGGCAAAAUGGCACCGUAACUUCGGGAGAAGGUGCGCCGGCGAGGGUGAAGGACUUGCUCCGUAAGCCCAUGCCGGUCGAAGAUACCAGGCCGCUGCGACUGUUUAUUAAAAACACAGCACUCUGCAAACACGAAAGUGGACGUAUAGGGUGUGACGCCUGCCCGGUGCCGGAAGGUUAAUUGAUGGGGUUAGCGCAAGCGAAGCUCUUGAUCGAAGCCCCGGUAAACGGCGGCCGUAACUAUAACGGUCCUAAGGUAGCGAAAUUCCUUGUCGGGUAAGUUCCGACCUGCACGAAUGGCGUAACGAUGGCGGCGCUGUCUCCACCCGAGACUCAGUGAAAUUGAAAUCGCUGUGAAGAUGCAGUGUAUCCGCGGCUAGACGGAAAGACCCCGUGAACCUUUACUAUAGCUUUGCACUGGACUUUGAAUUUGCUUGUGUAGGAUAGGUGGGAGGCUUUGAAGUGGGGACGCCAGUUCUCAUGGAGCCAUCCUUGAAAUACCACCCUGGCAACUUUGAGGUUCUAACUCAGGUCCGUUAUCCGGAUCGAGGACAGUGUAUGGUGGGUAGUUUGACUGGGGCGGUCUCCUCCCAAAGAGUAACGGAGGAGUACGAAGGUGCGCUCAGACCGGUCGGAAAUCGGUCGUAGAGUAUAAAGGCAAAAGCGCGCUUGACUGCGAGACAAACACGUCGAGCAGGUACGAAAGUAGGUCUUAGUGAUCCGGUGGUUCUGUAUGGAAGGGCCAUCGCUCAACGGAUAAAAGGUACUCCGGGGAUAACAGGCUGAUACCGCCCAAGAGUUCAUAUCGACGGCGGUGUUUGGCACCUCGAUGUCGGCUCAUCACAUCCUGGGGCUGAAGCCGGUCCCAAGGGUAUGGCUGUUCGCCAUUUAAAGUGGUACGCGAGCUGGGUUUAGAACGUCGUGAGACAGUUCGGUCCCUAUCUGCCGUGGACGUUUGAGAUUUGAGAGGGGCUGCUCCUAGUACGAGAGGACCGGAGUGGACGAACCUCUGGUGUUCCGGUUGUCACGCCAGUGGCAUUGCCGGGUAGCUAUGUUCGGAAGAGAUAACCGCUGAAAGCAU
rnacentral:rRNA from 1 species